rnacentral:lncRNA from 1 species
GGCAUAUUUGAUAUACAAUACCCUGCACAUAUUUAAAUGAUGUUUUGACAUAUGCACCUAUGAAACCAUCACCACAGUCAAGAUACUGAGCAUAUCCAUCACCCCCAAAGUCUCCUGGUAUGCCUUUGUAAUAUGUAGCAAUUUUGUAAGGAUGUAUAUGCUUCAACUUGACUAGUUGGGAAAUUCUUGAAUGUAGGCAGGAGAAAUAAAAAUAAGUAACGACAACAGUUCUCUUCUGUAUAUCCUCUUGUGGGAGGCUAAGAAAGAAAACACCACACUUUCACAUAAAUACAUUCAAGGUAUUAUACCUCAUGGUAUACCUUAACUAUGAAACAGAUUGUUGGAUAUGGAAUUGAGUAAAACACAAAUCUACUUACAAUAAGGAGAAGGACAGUUUCAUGACCCGGGAAACUGAGAAUUCAAAAGAGGACUUCCCUGGCCUUUUACAUAUUUGGAAAUGGGGACUGAUGGACAGAAUAAGUAGGUUGUAGAUGUUUAUUAUUGCAGGGCUUCAGAGGAGAUUAGAAAGACAGAAGUUGUGGAGCAUUAGGAAAACUGGAAGUUUUGCUUAACUUCUGUCCUUUAACACUUUGGUACUUUAGGGAAAUUUCCACAUCUGUAGAGUGGAGUGUGGGGCUUGGAGAGAAUGUAAAAUCUUUAAAGGUUUCUGUCAAUUCUUUCUGAUUAAAGCAUCUGCAAACAUCAUGUGAGCUGUUUGAAGAAGAGUGUUGUAUGACUGUAUUGAAUACAGCCUGCCUCCCUGCCUCCUGCUCUUUGGGGUAUCCCAAAGUACCUCUGGAAUGCACUGGGUGAGGGGAAGUUCUGUGUCCAGUCUUCAGGCAUGGAAUGAGCCACAAUCUACCUUUCCUCAUAAAUCUUCAGAGGACAUCCCUGGGUGUAUUAGCUCCCUGGUCUUUGAUGGACAUAUUAUAGAUGGGCCCAAUUACUAUUAUAAUACAUAGCUUGUCAAAAAUGAAAGGAAGGAGGAGGAGAGUAGACCAGAUGUGUAAAAGAAGAAAGACAACCG